CAAAAAGUCCGUAUUUAAUAUAUUCUCAAUUUGACCACAGACUGUAAGCAAUAAAAAAAGUUUGAUAGCAUGCGUGUUUGUCAAAUACAUGGUAGUGUGUGUAAUGCUUAAUUGAUUUAGUAAAGUCAAUAUUUUUUAUGCAUAAUUAAAAAUAAAAUAACAUUCUGCACUUCUUCUCUAUAUUCUCUAUAAGUCUGGGAAAUUUGAUACUCCUCCGUCCGCGCAAUUUUCAUAAAAAGGGGUAAGAACAUGUAAAGAACAUGUAAUCGUCGUAAUUUUAUUGAAUGUUGCAUGUUACGAAUGCGGUCGUGCGUCUUCCAAGAUCUAUAACUAUUUCUAUCAAAACUUGAAACUCAUAUUAUAGGAACCAGAAUCGUACAGCCACAUUCAAAAUAUAAAAGCAAAGUCAAGUACGCUUCAUUAGACGCAAAAUCAGCUGAGCUUAACACAGGUGAGAGCCGGUAACCUCGUGCGAUCAAAGAAAGCGCUUCACUGACGAGAUACCAAUUAUACGGAAUACAGAUAGAUGGAAAGGUGAAACUGCUGCAACCUCCUUUGCGCGAUGAGACAAACGUGAUCGGCGUUCUUUAUUUCGAUAUUUAAAUACUUAAAACUUUUUAUUUCAGACGUGAUUGAAUGAAAUUGGAUUUAUUUUUUUGGAAAUUUAUUCUAUUUAUUCGUUAAGUUCCGGAAUUUAUUAACUUUCGCAUUUCUAAAUAAUUAAUUUGUAUUUUGUAACAUUUUUUUGUAACUUAUUAUGAUGUUAUUAAAUGGAAGCUUGAAAUGGA